GCAUGAAGUCGGAAUUGCUAGUAAUCGCAGAUCAGCAUGCUGCGGUGAAUACGUUCCCGGGCCUUGUACACACCGCCCGUCACACCAUGGGAGUCGGUAACACCCGAAGUCGGUGACCCAACCGUAAGGAGGGAGCCGCCGAAGGCAGGCCUGGUAACUGGGGUGAAGUCGUAACAAGGUAUC
rnacentral:rRNA from 1 species